AAGAAAGCUGCAAGAACUGCUAAUUCAUGCAUCCGUAAUUAAACUUACGGCUUUCUUA
rnacentral:tRNA from 1 species